UGGAGAGAAUGAGGAGGAUCUUUUAAGCUAUGCCUGGAGGAAUUGGAAGGAUAAUACAGUGGCAAAUAUCAUGGACCCAAAGCUGACGACAGGUUUAGGAAUUGAAAUGAUGAGAUGCAUCCACAUUGCAUUGCUAUGCGUCCAAGAAAAUGUGGCAAGCAGACCAUCCAUGGCUUCAGUUGUCUCUAUGCUUAACAGCCAUUCUGUCACACUCUCACUACCCUCACGACCGGCAUAUUAUUUGCAAUAUAACAGUGGAUCAGACAUAACAGGGUCCGAUGAAUCCCAAAACCCUAUGCAUGUGUCAGCAAAUAAGAAUUCAGAUUUUACUGAACCAUAUGCUCGCUAGUGGGGUGGGGCUGAGUAUGUAUCAGGAACAAUUUAUUUUCUUUUCUUUGAUAUGCGCGUUUGAUUGAUAUAUUUGAAAAACUGCAGCUCAAGUUAAAUAUUUUCUGUACUUAAAGU